AGGUUGAAACUCAAAGGAAUUGACGGGGACCCGCACAAGCGGUGGAGCAUGUGGUUUAAUUGGAAGCAACGCGAAGAACCUUACCAAAUCUUGACAUCCUUUGACCGCUCUAGAGAUAGAGUCUUCCCCUUCGGGGGACAAAGUGACAGGUGGUGCAUGGUUGUCGUCAGCUCGUGUCGUGAGAUGUUGGGUUAAGUCCCGCAACGAGCGCAACCCUUAAGCUUAGUUGCCAUCAUUAAGUUGGGCACUUUAGGUUGACUGCCGGUGACAAACCGGAGGAAGGUGGGGAGGACGUCAAAUCAUCAUGCCCCUUAUGAUUUGGGCUACACACGUGCUACAAUGGAUAAUACAAAGGGCAGGGAAUCCGGGAGGCCAAGCAAAUCCCAUAAAAUUAUUCUCAGUUCGGAUUGUAGUCUGCAACUCGACUACAUGAAGCUGGAAUCGCUAGUAAUCGUAGAUCAGCAUGCUACGGUGAAUACGUUCCCG
rnacentral:rRNA from 1 species